AGGAAGUAAAAGUCGUAACAAGGUUUCCGUAGGUGAACCUGCGGAAGGAUCAUUACCGAAUUGUUGACACGAGUUGUUGCUGGUCCUCAAAUGGGGGCAUGUGCACGCUCUGUUUACACAUCCACUCACACCUGUGCACCCUCUGUAGCUCUGUGACAUGGGGGACUCUGUCCUCCUGUUGCGGCUCUACAUCUUUACACACACUCUGUAACAAAGUAUCAUGGAAUGUAUGCCGCGUUUAACGCAAUACAAUACAACUUUCAGCAACGGAUCUCUUGGCUCUCGCAUCGAUGAAGAACGCAGCGAAAUGCGAUAAGUAAUGUGAAUUGCAGAAUUCAGUGAAUCAUCGAAUCUUUGAACGCACCUUGCGCCCUUUGGCUAUUCCGAAGGGCAUGCCUGUUUGAGUAUCAUGAACACCUCAACUCUCGUGGUUUGCUACGAUGAGCUUGGACUCUGGGGGUUUUGCCGGCCUGUGGUUGGCUCCUCUCAAAUGAAUCAGCUUCCCAGUGUUUGGUGGAGCCGCAGGUGUGAUAACUAUCUACGCUUGUGGUUUUUCACCAGAUAACCUUCGGUGACGGAGGUUCGCUGGGGCUCAUAAAUGUCUCUCCUCAGUGAAGACAGCUUUUGAACGUUUGAUCUCAAAUCAGGUAGGACUACCCGCUGAACUUAAGCAUAUC
rnacentral:rRNA from 1 species